GAUGAAGAACGCAGCGAAAUGCGAUAAGUAGUGUGAAUUGCAGAAUUCAGUGAAUCAUCGAAUCUUUGAACGCACAUUGCGCCCUUUGGUAUUCCAAAGGGCAUGCCUGUUCGAGCGUCAUUUGUACCCUCAAGCUUUGCUUGGUGUUGAGCGUCUUGUCUCUAGCUUUGCUGGAGACUCGCCUUAAAGUAAUUGGCAGCCGGCCUACUGGUUUCGGAGCGCAGCACAAGUCGCACUCUCUAUCAGCAAAGGUCUAGCAUCCAUUAAGCCUUUUUUUUCAACUUUUGACCUCGGAUCAGGUAGGGAUACCCGCUGAACUUAAGCAUAUCAAUAAGCGGAGGA
rnacentral:misc_RNA from 1 species